GGCCCCUCACGGGCGGAGGCGGCCCCGGGCCCCUCACGGGAGGCCCAGGCCUCCUGCCCAGGCCGUGGCUGCAGGACAGAGCGCAAGCCUGCAGCACCAGUGUCGGGACAGGGCAGAGGCAGCUCCGGGACUUUGGUCCCACGGGGGCACAGCUUGCUCUUGUCAUCUUCGGCCCAUCAGCUCAGGAAGCCCCAGCUCAGAAAUCAGAGGUGUGGCUAUAGGAAAGCAAGAUGUGGUCUGUGGCAUCUCGAGUCCUCAAAUUAGGGUGGUGGCAGCCUGUGCAUCGCUGAUGGCCCUCAGCAGCACCAGAACGUGUGUGCCUCUGGCCUAGGGAAGGCUGUUUCCUGGAGACACAUGCUGUGCAGUUUGGUUGGUGGAACCACUGCCCAUUUGAAAUGAGCUCCAUGGCAGCUUUUAUGUGAUCAGCAAACUGCCACAAGCAGUGCUACAGCUGCACAAGUGCUCUGACCUGAGCAGAUGUGGUCCCAGAAGUCAAAAACCCACCCCAUCACUAGAGUAUUCUGAGGGGGAAAGACAGUGUUCUGCUUCACCUGAGGGAGGGAAGCCAACAUGCAGCCAGGAACAAUUGUCAGACAAGAGAAAAUGCAACAGCCUCCAGUGUCCAGACACAUGGAUAGGAAAAGACUCAGGUUCUUAAUUCAAGAGUUUCCAUCUUCACCACCCUGAAGUCCAGCAAUUACCUAAUGUGAGAUAUGCCAAGGAGCCCAGAGACCAAGCUCUAAGAUUUCUUGAAGGAUCACAGAAACAUUUUCAGUCUACUACUGAUGCAUACAUGUUUCUAAUUUGAGCAAACUGCUUGCAGUGCUAUAUUAAAUUAGUGAAAUCCAAGUUUCAGAUAAAAAUCCCUACGGUACCAAACUAAAAACCUUGCACUUAGGGCAGGACUUGUGGCUCCUAGCAGCAAGGAUAUUGUUUAAACCUCAGCAGAAAGAUAAACUUGCAACCCUGGAGUACCAAAGGUCUCAGCUAAAGCCAUUAGUAAACUUAAGUGAGACUACUUAAACUUACAAAUACUUGGCCUUACAGCAACAAAACAGCUGACUAGGUAUUCCAAUUAGUUACCCAGAGCUACAGUGGAACUGCCCAGACAAUGUUUUAUAAGAGGAUGUAUUCUACAGCAACCGGAUAUGGACAGGACAACAAAAGUUGCCUUCUGUUUGCUUACACCUUGGUGACACAAACACCUGCCAGCUGCAAGGCCUGUUGCUAACAAAAUCUGCUUUAUCUUCCCAGCUGAUCUGCUCACAGUCUAACUUAUAAAACUUAAAUCAGCUCCUUCACAUCAUGACAACAUCCCAAGCCUCAACAACCCAAGACAAAGCUUCCUUGAUUGCAUUUGUGAAAAUUCCACAUUUUCUUCAGAGGGAUGCGCAAUGAAGUCUCCAAGGCUUGUGAAAUUAGUUUUUGCUAAUGUCCUGGGGUGACAGGACCUAGACCAGGACAGCAUCACACCAGCCCUUUCAACAACAACCCCCACUGAAGAGCUGAUGGAUCAGGGGACUGGAAGCACCCAGGAGCUGCCUGGCUUGAACAGGCACCAAUGCAAUCUCUCUCACAUGUGCACACCAGAUGGCAGGACCAGGGACAUCCCAAAACCUGAUUGCUUGGUCAGUCAGUCUGGUACAGGAGACCUUGAUAUUUGCAAGGGAGAUACAGAAGCAAAAUUUGGGCAGCAAAAUGAGGCAAGAGUUGGCAUUCCACAGCACCUUUCUGAUCUGGUCACAGCUAAGCUCCAAGCAGUUGUAGGUGACUCUGUUCUUGCACAGCAGGCCUCCAGCAGCCAGCACCAGUCUGUUAGGAAUGAACUCAUGAGUCUCAAUCAACAGCUGGACUCACACAGACUAUGCAGGCAACUUUACAUUUUGGGUUUGACCCAAUGCAAGGCAGUUCCUGCAUCUUGGCAGGUCUUACACCAGCACACAGUGGAUUCAAUGAUCCUUGUGGAGCUCCAACUCAGUAUAUUCUACUAUCCUUGGUGCUCUUUUUAUGUUUGUUUCUGUGGCUCACCCUUGCCAGCUUAGAUCUGAUGCAAUCAAGUUUCUCCCUACAUUAUGAGGCAUGCUAUCAUAUUUGUCUUGUCCACAGGAUCUCAGUGUUGACUAAGCCAAGGUUGUUUAUAAUGCAGAAGUCAUCCCUGUAACAGAUGCAGUUACACUGCCAUGACUAAGCCAUUCACUAAAAGACUGAAACAUCUCCAGCAGAAGCAGGAGGCACAUCUCAGAUCAGGAAUACCCUGUUCCUCUGUCCCAAGAGUCUUCUCAAAGAGGCAUUUUCACCAUUACCCCUCUUUCCACAACAGUCCCAGCAGCUCCUGAAGAAAAGCAUCAUGCACAUGUUUUGGGUGCUACUGGUCUCCUUGGAAUAAGCAGCAAUAGUUCAGAUGGUCUUUGGGCACAGGCUGGACCACAUUCCACUGAGUUAUUCUAAGGGAGAACACAGUUCAGACUGCAUGGAUUCCCUUUGAGAAACACACAUGCUCACAAGCACUGGAGCACACAGCCAGGGAUCUACCCACAUGAAAUGGCACAGACCAAGCUCACAGCACUCCCUCCCAGGACACUAAUGGUCUCUGUGCUCAGCUUUACAAAAGCACUGCUAAUCCUGCACAUACUACAAAGUUCUGACAGCAGUUGCCCCAUUCACAGUUAAAUUAUGCAACACCUCAGUGAGAUUAUGAGAGCUGACUGGUGUACUUCCAUGCUGAGUCAUGAGGGUGUUGAAGUAUCAUUUCAGUGAUGAAGCACCAAAUGAAAUCCUCCCACCAGAAACAGUCUUUAAAAACCCUGCUGCUGCAAUGGUGCUCCAGUCACCUACUGUUCCACUCAUUUAAUUAAUGGACAUUAAGCAUUUCUUGACCAAGACCUACUGGAUUAAACUCACUCUGACCCAGUCACCCAGUUCACUGUUUCAUACCACAUCUGUACAGCAGAGCCCUGAACAAGGGACUGUUACAAAGGUGAGAUAAAUCAGAGCUUCCUUUUGAUCUCAGCUAUUAUCCAAGCCUCACCUCCUGCUGUCAUUUUUGGGUAUACAGCUUGUUCACCUGGCCUUCUUUCAGAGCAGCCACCAAAUCAGGUGGGGAGGUUAGAGUUUAGUGGGAGAUGCUACCAUGUUUGUGCACUCUGGAUGCUCUCCUGCCUCACAUGGGCAACUGUAAGAUUUCAAGUUGUGAUUUGGACAUCCCUGUGUUUUAUACACCUAUACUGUGAAGAGACAAGAGCCACUUCCCUUCCAUUAGACCACUAAUGCCACUGCUGACAGAUUGACAGGCACCAUAACAAGUCAAUAAAAAAGUGCUAAAACUGCAA